rfam:Daphnia pulex DAPPTscaffold_814_Cont11130, whole genome shotgun sequence.
UCCCAUGUGGUCUAGUGGCUAGGAUACCUGGCUUUCACCCAGGAAGCUCGGGUUCGAUUCCCGGUAUGGGAA